UAGAACCGGCUCUCCAGUAGGAGACGGGGCUGGGGUGGCUACACAGAGAGGCACCCAACAAUAUUAGUGAGGGUUGAAUAGUUGAGCUGAUUAGUUGGAACUAAGCUUUAGUACCCAUUGACAUGUAUGAGAGC